CCUACGGGUGGCAGCAGUGAGGAAUAUUGGUCAAUGGCCGGAAGGCUGAACCAGCCAAGCCGCGUGAGGGAGGAAGGCGCAGAGCGUCGCAGACCUCUUUUGCCGGGGAGCAACGGGCGCUACGUGUGGAGCCACUGAGAGUACCCGGAGAAAAAGCAUCGGCUAAAUCCGUGCCAGCAGCCGCGGUAAUACGGAGGAUGCGAGCGUUAUCCGGCUUUAUGGGGUUAAAAGGGUGCGUAGGCGGAUCGUAAAGUCAGUGGGCAAAGUGAGGGGCCAAACCCCUUCCCGCCAUUGCAACUGGCGCUCUUGAGUGGAAGAGAAGUAUGCGGAAUGCGUGGUGUAGCGGUGAAAUGCAUAGAUAUCACGCAGAACCCCGAUUGCGAAGGCAGCAUGCCGGCUUCCGACUGACGCUGAAGCACGAAAGCGUGGGGAUCGAACAGGAUUAGAUACCCCGGUAGUC
rnacentral:rRNA from 1 species